rnacentral:lncRNA from 1 species
UUCUUAAGUAUGUUUAUGUGGAUAAGAUAUGUUUUUUGUUGUGAAUGUACAUGAAAAAAGGGUUUCGAGAGCAAAUAAGUAAAUUUUGUGAAAAAUGAGUUAAGUACACCUUGGACAGUGCAAGCCAUAAGAGUCCGGAACCUAAAUAAGCCACAGAAAGAUAAAAGUGAUCAAAAUAAGCCACUAUUCUAGUAAGUAACUAAAAUAGGCCUAGCAUCCCCGCUUAAGGUCCAAGAGGCAUUGAACUACUAUUAGGAAGGGUUUAGACUGAAAUAAACUCCUAAUAGGCCCACCUAGACACCAAGCCAAAUAAUUUGGACUAGCAUUUAGCACAUAGAGUCUCAUAUUAGCCUCUAGAUUUUAUUAGCAUGCUUGCAAACACAUAUAAUUGUGAAAAAGUCUCAUGCUAGGCGUGUGGCAUACAACAUAUUAUAGCAAUAAUUAUUUUUGGAACAUUAGAUACAGGAAGCAAUUAUACAAGUGGCAGAAAGCAAUCAUGGAGGCAGGAAAUGUCUUUUAGAGCAGUGAAGAUCAGAUUAUUAAGCAACAGUCAAUUCAUUAGAUGCAUAAAUAACUAAACGAGAAAAAAAAGAUCAAUUAGGGCAGACUAAAUUUUAAGCAAUUAGGAUUUUAACAUGCUGUAAAAUUAAUUUAUUUUUUAAGUGACAAACCAGUUCAUUACGAUGCAACAAAUUGAUUAUUUUGGACAACUUUAAAUGACAGAUAAAUUUAAUGUCACAGUUAACAUGCAGAAGAAGACAUUAAUUUAUUUUAGAUAGAAAUUACUUAUUUUAAGUAGAGAUUAUUCAUAAAAGACAAAAAAAAAAUACUAAAAAUUUAUUAGAAGCCUAUGAAAAGCUAACUAAGUGAUUAACAUGCUGAAAUUUUAUUAACAACCUAAAAUAUUUUUAUUAGCUGACAGGCUUAAAUUACUAAAAUAUGCAGAAAUUAUUUAAACUAAUUAGUUAACAUCAAUGAUUUUAUUGUUUUAAUCCUAUAGGCAUGAUUUCUAGAUGGUUUGGAUUUAUUCACAUAAAGCAACCAUUACAACUAAUUGGUAAACUCAUUAAUUCACAUACCAAAUAAAAUAUCUGAAUGCCUAUGCACAUGAUUUCUAAAUAAAGAACACAACUUAUAGACAUGGUUUCUAUACAUGAAUAACACAUUAAUAAACAUUUAAAUCCUAUAGGCAUGCAUUUCUAAGUAAUCUGAAUUUAUUAACAACCAAUCAGCCAUUACAAUCUAAUUAAUUGACCUAUUGAAUUAAGAUUACUUUCUAGACAGAUUGCAGAUUUAAUUUUCUAAACAUGCUGGCAGUUGAUCAAGAUUAAUUUGCUAACUAUUGACAUACUAAAUUUGUUAGGCACAUUUUGGUAAAUUCUUAUGGGCCCAUUUUAUUAACAUGCUGAGGUGAAUAAAGUCUAAUCCAAAUAAAGCAAAUAUUCAAAUUAUAAGACAAUUAAUACAUAAUGGUUGAUUUUAACAAUAAGGCAAAGUUGCAUGAGCGAAGGGUUGAAAUUAGGUCGAUUGCUAAGUGAUUCCGACAUGCCGCACAUACCAAAAAAUAAACUACGCUAAAAGGAAAAGGAACAAUUAGCACGUAUAUCCCCCUCCCCCUUGGACGAUUCCCCAAGUUAUCAUAUAUAGAGAGAGUUAGAGUUAUACAAAAUAUUACAAGUUCAAAGAAUAAAUAAACAGUAUUUCCAGCAUUAAGAUAAACUUGAACAUAAGAAUCUUGUCCGAAAAUCUCUUUGAGGCGACUCUUGAACCUUUUAAGUUCAAAACCCUGUUAAAGUACAACGAAAAAUACGAGCAAGUAACACCACAUAAUAGAUGAUAGCAAGAUGAUAAAUAAUUAUAUAGUACGCACAUUUAAUUAUUUCAUGUACACAAGUAACAUAUGGCAUGUAAGAACUUAACAAGUUGUGGAGAAUAUAUAAUCACACAAAGCAAGAAAGGAUAAGAAGACUGACUCGGAGGCUUCCCGCCAUUCAAACAUACAACAACAAUUGAAACAAUUCAAAACGGAAAUUAAACUAAUAGAGAAACAACUAACCGGUUAAGCAGAAUAUAUGUUUAACAGCAAUGAAGACAAACUUGAUCCACUACUAGACCCGAACACAGCAAAAUCGAAUAAAGAUAGCUCUUUUAAAUGUUUAUCGAAAUCUUAAUUCUUUUAAGAGUAGAGAGUUUUUUUUUUUCUUAGAAUAUGUCAACGUGAGUCCGUAAUAAUGAGACUAAGGGCCACUUUAUAUAGUAGCAAAAAAGGCACAUAAUACAAGGAAAGAAAUAAUUUUAGGAGUCAAUUGAAAAAAGUUUUCCUUAAACAAAGGGAGUACACAAUCCCUUUCUUUUUCACUACAGAAUAAUAUUCUUACCAUAAAUAACCCACAAAAUCUGCCUAACUUUCACUAAGGCAAGAAAGUCGAUUAGUAAAAUUCAUUUUAGAUGACACAUUACAAACAAAAGUUAAUAUUUAAGGGAAAGGAAUAACAUACAGCUUAAAUCAAUAUUCAAUAUUCUCAUACACUACACGAUCUUACCAAGUUAAUUAUUAAGAGAACAAGAAUCAAUAAGCAACAAUUAUGGAAUUUCUUUUUAUUUUUUCCUUAAUACAGAAAAGGUAAAGUCAACAGAAUAUAACUACAAUAUAACAUGAUUCAUAUCAACUUUAAAUACGGCAGAUAUGAUCAAUCAACCCAAAAGUGAAUUAGUAAAGCAAAGUUUACCUUACCAAGAGCCACAAAACAUGUCCGGACCCAUUAAUCAAAUACCAUAUCAUUACAAAGGAAUUACCAUUAAGAAGGGAGAUAAUUAAGGUCCAAAAUUAUAAUUAUUCUACCAUUUUCAGCAAAUCACGAAUCCAUUCAAUGGACAGCCACAAGGUGAUAACAAUGAAAAUACAAAUUAACACAUUAACUAUCCGUUUUAGCGGAGGACCAAAGUUAUUACCAUAGAUACAAUGGGCAUCACAAUCGGUUAAGGAAUGGAAUUUUAUAAACAAACAGUGAUUUAGGAAAUCCAAGUUAAUACAAAUCAGUAAGCAUUAAGGAAGUUCAAAUGUUUUAACAUGAUCUCAAGAGUAAAGCAUGAACUUGGAGAACAAAUCAGCCCACAUAUAUAUUAAGAAUUCGAAAUCUAAAACGAAAAGGUGCACCCAUCUCACAUUUUACAAUUUUCAUAGUGACAUGCUUAAAAUUUGGUCUCAAAAGUAAAGGAAUUUGUACCUGGGACGAAUCUAUUAAGAUCCGUCUUAAACAAAACCAAAAUAUGUCAAAGUGGUUGCCGUUUUUUUGUCGGAGACGUGGGUGACUGGUGGCGUGGAGCAGCGAUGGUUGCUGCCCAGUUGCUUUCGCGGCUACUGGCUGUUGUUUGUACUGGCCGAAGCGGCUGGCGCUGCUGCUGUUGGAGCUGGUGUCAUCUGGCACUCGCCAGCUGCUGGCCGGAGCGAGCUUCGCCGGAGCAGGUAAGAGAGAAGAGAGAGGGGGUGGCGGGUCUGCUUGGAGAGGAGAGGAAGAGAUGAAUAAU